rnacentral:tRNA from 1 species
UGCUCCGCAGACAAAUGGAUAAGGCAUCUGACUUCCGAUCAGAAGAUUGCGAGUUCGAGUCCCGUCGGAGUCC